rnacentral:rRNA from 1 species
UACGUAGGGUGCGAGCGUUAAUCGGAAUUAUUGGGCGUAAAGGGUGCGUAGGUGGUUUUACGAGUUAGCUGUGAAAGUCCUGGGCUUAACCUAGGGAUUGCGGCUAAUACUGUAGGACUGGAGUAUAGGAGAGGGUAGUGGAAUUUUCCGGUGUAGCGGUGAAAAUGCGUAGAGAUCGGAAGGAACACCGGUGGCGAAGGCGGCUACCUGGCCUGAUACUGACACUGAGGCACGAAAGCGUGGG